GACGAACCGUGCAAACGUUGUUCGGAAUCACUGGGCUUAAAGGGCGCGUAGGCGGGCUCCCAAGUCGGUGGUGAAAUCUUUCGGCCCAACCGGAAAAGUGCCGCCGAUACUGGGAGUCUCGAGGGAGGUAGGGGUCGAUGGAACUUCCGGUGGAGCGGUGAAAUGCGUAGAUAUCGGAAGGAACGCCGGUGGCGAAAGCGAUCGACUGGACCUCUUCUGACGCUGAGGCGCGAAAGCCAGGGGAGCAAACGGG
rnacentral:rRNA from 1 species